rnacentral:misc_RNA from 1 species
GCAAAACAACUUGCUGGUUUGGGGGCCAAGCUUAUUAUUUCUGCACGGGAUGAAGCUGGGUUAGAGAGAGUGAAGAACGAGCUCUCUGGUAAAUUUGCACCUAAUGAAGUCAAAGUUUUACCCUUAGAUUUGGCAUCUGGGGAAAAUAAGCUGAAAGAGGCUGUAGAGAUAGCAGAAUCCCUUUUUCCUGGCUCUGGUGUGGAUUAUAUGAUCCAUAAUGCAGCUUUUGAGCGUCCCAAAACUACAGCUUUGGAUAUAUCCGAAGAAAGUCUGAAGACAACAUUUGAUGUCAAUGUUAUUGGGACCAUUUCUCUCACACGGCUUCUUGCACCUUUU